UACGAAGGGGGCUAGCGUUGCUCGGAAUCACUGGGCGUAAAGGGUGCGUAGGCGGGUCUUUAAGUCAGGGGUGAAAUCCUGGAGCUCAACUCCAGAACUGCCUUUGAUACUGAGGAUCUUGAGUUCGGGAGAGGUGAGUGGAACUGCGAGUGUAGAGGUGAAAUUCGUAGAUAUUCGCAAGAACACCAGUGGCGAAGGCGGCUCACUGGCCCGAUACUGACGCUGAGGCACGAAAGCGUGGGGGAUCAAACAGG
rnacentral:rRNA from 1 species